UGGGGAAUUUUGGACAAUGGGGGCAACCCUGAUCCAGCCAUGCCGCGUGAGUGAAGAAGGCCUUCGGGUUGUAAAGCUCUUUCGGCCGGGAAGAAAUCGUAUGGGUUAAUACCCUGUGCGGAUGACGGUACCGGCAUAAGAAGCACCGGCUAACUACGUGCCAGCAGCCGCGGUAAUACGUAGGGUGCGAGCGUUAAUCGGAAUUACUGGGCGUAAAGCGUGCGCAGGCGGUUUUGUAAGACAGGCGUGAAAUCCCCGGGCUCAACCUGGGAACUGCGCUUGUGACUGCAAGGCUAGAGUAUGGCAGAGGGGGGUGGAAUUCCACGUGUAGCAGUGAAAUGCGUAGAGAUGUGGAGGAACACCAAUGGCGAAGGCAGCCCCCUGGGCCAAUACUGACGCUCAUGCACGAAAGCGUGGGUAGCAAACAGG
rnacentral:rRNA from 1 species